rnacentral:rRNA from 1 species
UGGGGAAUAUUGCGCAAUGGGGGCAACCCUGACGCAGCCAUGCCGCGUGAGUGAAGAAGGUCUUCGGAUUGUAAAGCUCUUUCAACGGGGAAGAUGAUGACGGUACCCGUAGAAGAAGCCCCGGCUAACUUCGUGCCAGCAGCCGCGGUAAUACGAAGGGGGCUAGCGUUGUUCGGAAUUACUGGGCGUAAAGGGCGUGUAGGCGGUCUAUUCAGUCAGAGGUGAAAUCCCUGGGCUCAACCUAGGAAUUGCCUUUGAUACUGUUAGACUAGAGUUCGGGGGAGGAUAGUGGAAUUCCCAGUGUAGAGGUGAAAUUCGUAGAUAUUGGGAAGAACACCAGUGGCGAAGGCGGCUAUCUGGACCGUUACUGACGCUGAGGCGCGAAAGCGUGGGGAGCAAACAGGAUUAGAUACCCCUGUAGUCC